rnacentral:rRNA from 1 species
GACGAACGCUGGCGGCGUGCUUAACACAUGCAAGUCGAACGAAGAGCGACGGAAGCUUGCUUCUAUCAAUCUUAGUGGCGAACGGGUGAGUAACGCGUAAUCAACCUGCCCUUCAGAGGGGGACAACAGUUGGAAACGACUGCUAAUACCGCAUACGAUCUAAUCUCGGCAUCGAGGAUGGAUGAAAGGUGGCCUCUACAUGUAAGCUAUCACUGAAGGAGGGGAUUGCGUCUGAUUAGCUAGUUGGAGGGGUAACGGCCCACCAAGGCGAUGAUCAGUAGCCGGUCUGAGAGGAUGAACGGCCACAUUGGGACUGAGACACGGCCCAGACUCCUACGGGAGGCAGCAGUGGGGAAUCUUCCGCAAUGGACGAAAGUCUGACGGAGCAACGCCGCGUGAGUGAUGACGGCCUUCGGGUUGUAAAGCUCUGUUAAUCGGGACGAAAGGCUUUCUUGCGAAUAGUGAGAAGGAUUGACGGUACCGGAAUAGAAAGCCACGGCUAA